rfam:Populus trichocarpa isolate Nisqually-1 chromosome 19, whole genome shotgun sequence.
UAAUUUAUUUGUGUUAAAUUUUUAUCUAGUUAUAACAGACUUACAAUUAACUACUUACAAUUAUUUAUUAUUACAAGUCUGAUUAUAUCAUUAACACUCAUGUAACAUAUUAAAUAUAUUUUUUAAUAAAAU